UUAGCUGCUUCACCUUGUUACUGCGG
rnacentral:sRNA from 1 species